AGUCAGACAAUUGCUGUAUUGCUUGCUGUGUGCAGUGAACAUCGAAAAUAAUACAGAUGUAAUUUAGAAUACGGCAGCACUUCCUUGUUCUUUUACGAGAAUUAUCAUUCUGUAGAUUUGUCCUCAUACUGGCGAUUCACAAGCAGAAUUUCUGCCAUGCGACGACAUAUUCGAGGGCCUCGAGGCUGUUGUUUACCGUAGCAACUAAAAGCAAGUGGCAUCAUUGAUAGCAUCAGUCGAAGAAUAGUCGUGUAGAAAGACAUUGUUGCUCAGGAGAAAGAACUUGUAAACGCUUUAAAGAGUCAAUUAGAUUGUUGCUUUCGUUCUGUUCUGAAAUGGUCUUAGUGAAAGUAUUUAUCAUCUUGGUAAUUUCCAUUACUUGCAUCAAUAUGAAACUCAACUGCAUACUUCGUUUAAGUGAGAGUGAGUCCAGUAAGAAGAUUGAUCAAUACCGUAUAUAUUAUAGACUAUUAUGGCUUUCACAACGUUUCUUCGAACAAAUGAGUGCUUGAUACUGAAAGCCCAGAGCAAAGCUACACCUGCAAAGCAUUCCAGCUGAUAAGAAUAAUGAAUCAUCUUUGGAGCAAAAUAUUAAAAACUGAAAGGUAUCUUUCUGAACACCUUUUUUGUGUUGUAGAAGAUAAUUGUUUAACCAAUUGUUUGUGUCCUCUUGUAUUUCUUUUAGCUUUUUAUAUGCAAUACAACCUAACUUAAAGAAAAAAAAAUAUUUCAUUGCAGUUACCUAAUAAAGUUGUAUAUAUGUAAACUGCAUAUUACCCCUAGUGAACCAAAUACAUGCCUUGAAAUUUUUACCAAUAUUGUAUUAGCAUCAGAUAAUCUUUGGUAAAUCCUUUACUUUUAACUUUGCAUACUAUACAGUUUACAAAGGGAAGCCUGCAACUGUUGAAGAAUUUGUUGAAGGAACAUUUUGUAAAGAUGUUAACAACAAUGGAAAAGUGUGCAGAAGUGAGGCUAGUUGUUUUGAUGUAAAUUAGUCAGUUUUGUAUUCAUUGUUAACAUGUUGUUUGGUGAAGUAAAACAAAAACACUGAUGCUAUACUAACAAAUAGUCAAAUACCAUGAAUUGAUCUAUGUGCUUAAUAAUGUAAUGAUGAUGAAAUGCACCUUUUGAUAAAAAGCAAA